GACGAACGCUGGCGGCGUGCUUAACACAUGCAAGUCGAACGGAAAGGCCCUGCUUUUGUGGGGUGCUCGAGUGGCGAACGGGUGAGUAACACGUGAGUAACCUGCCCUUGACUUUGGGAUAACUUCAGGAAACUGGGGCUAAUACCGGAUAGGAGCUCCUGCUGCAUGGUGGGGGUUGGAAAGUUUCGGCGGUUGGGGAUGGACUCGCGGCUUAUCAGCUUGUUGGUGGGGUAGUGGCUUACCAAGGCUUGGACGGGUAGCCGGCCUGAGAGGGUGACCGGCCACAUUGGGACUGGGGUACGGCCCAGACUCCUACGGGAGGAAGCAGUGGGGAAUAGUGCACAAUGGGCGGAAGCCUGAUGGAGCAACGCCGCGUGCGGGAUGACGGCCUUCGGGUUGUAAACCGCUUUCGCCUGUGACGAAGCGUGAGUGACGGUAAUAGGUAAAGAAGCACCGGCUAACUACGU
rnacentral:rRNA from 1 species